CAAUCCCAUCAGCCACCAGACUCAACAUCUGAACAUCACUCAACUCUGUCACACAUGUUCAGUCCACUGUUGUGGUCCUACUGAAGCUGUGAUCCGAUUGGUCCUCUCUGCUCUGGUGGGCAUGGCUACUGUCAUUCUUGUGGUUUAUGACAUCAGAUCCAGAAGAGCUGAAGGAGAUCAAGCACAUAUUCACACAUCAGGAAGUGCUUAAAUCUGAAGCAGAACGCUGAACUUUAAAGGUUCUUCAAGUGUGUUUUUGUCAUAAUAAACACUGAUGAUUAUUUGAGCCUCUCUUUCAGGGUCAGAUUUGUAAAACUCUUAUUUGUAAGGCUUUAUUGUUCAUAUUUCUCUCAGAGACACACAGAUCUCACUUUUACUACUACUGCUGUAUAUUUGUCAUGUGUAUUUUACACUGUUGUUGAGGAUCAAAUUAAAAUAGGAUCUUUUUAAUGUGUCUGACGGAGUUGACACAAAUUCAGUUCUGAAGUGAAUAAAUGUACAUUUUUAGAAGAAAACAUUUUCAGAAAAACCUGUUCCCUUACAUGUUCAUUAGCUGAGACCUUUGUCUACAAAUAUAUCAGUUUAUAAUAAUGUGUUAUUCAAUAAUAAAAACUAACUUUUAAAACAUGA